UGACAUUUCAAGUAGAUCGGACCUCAGCGAACCCGAUAGAACACGCAGCAUGGUCCCCAACCAUGGAUCUCCUGGCUCUCUCGUACGAUAACGGCGAGUUCUCUGUGGUCCGCACGUGCAUGUCUUGGCAGGUGGUGUGGACAGUGAAGGAGGACACUGAAGGACUGGUCCAGGGUCUCGUUUGGAGGGGUGACGGUAAAGUACUGGCUGUUAGCUUUAAAGAUGUUGUUAAUAUGUACAGUGUAGAGGGUGGUGCUUUGCUCCAUUCCUCCUCCACGCAGGACGGUGUGGUGGCAUGGUCCUCUGUAGCUGUAACCUCCAACGUUAACUUUCUCCGACCUGUUGAACCCUAUCUGCCUGCUCUUGAAGACGUUAAAACAGACAUAAUGUCCAUCAGAGAUCUGCUGGAGAGUAAAACAGAUCUGAAUGUGAUGUUGCUUUGUGAUAAGCAGAAGCAGUGUGUGAGACUAGCCGCGCAGGGCAUGAUGCACGUGGGCGUUGUAUCUGCUGCGGGUGUUGAGUCUGUUGGGAUUACGCAGGAUGGGAAGAGCCUGUGUGUUAUUACUGAUGAGACUUCUCCCAAAUGUACCGUGUAUAACACGGAGAUACUUGCUGGACACACAACUAACAUUAAUGAUGUGACUAUGAUUUACAGCAAAGUUGUGACCUUGUCGGAGUAUCUUUUGUCCACUUUCAAAGCGAUGACAGAUUGUUGGGAUGAUGUUUUGUCUGAGUUCAAUAAAAAGUUGUUUGCGUUUCACAUGUCCCUGCAUCCUAGUAAUUUAUCUGAACAGUUCCUUCAUCUGUUGGUUACUGGGGCUGCGUCCAUGGACCUCGAGAACUUUCUCGUGCACACCCUGAAAGAGAAGGAAAUAUCAAAAUUAUUGCAAUCUACAAUGCAAUCGUAUGAGGGGAUUGAGAAACUUAUAACUCAGAACUUCAUGUGUUGUUGUUAUGCGCUGGCUACACAUCUGCAGUUCCUUCUCGGAAUGUCACGUUGGUAUGAUAGGUAUGGAGAGCUGGGUUUAAAAGAGAUUGCAGUGCAAGAUUCCAUCAACAAACUAUCGGGUCUCAUGAUCAAAGCUCAGGAAAUGCUACAAUGUAUCUCCCAUUCAAAAGCUAAACUGAGUUCAUUUUUAAAAUGGUUGCUGAAAGCCACCAUCUCACUGAGUGACGGCAACAGUACCACAGUGAAGAUAUCUGAAGAUGAACUGAACCUUGUGGUGAAGUUCCUCAAGACAGGGAACUUAUUCGCUACUCGUGCGGACACCUACCACUUCAACAUCGACACAGUCUGGCAGUACUUUUCUGAGGAGAACAUUCUGGUGCCACCUGAGUACUACAACAACAAAAUACUGGAUACUGUACUGACUCUGUUGAAAGAUAAGAAACCAUAUCUAACGGUUCAGCCAUCACUUUCUCUGGUACAAUCCCACAUACUUCUCACUGAGUCCCUCCUCAAAUGUUUUGAACUUAGUCUGCCCGAUUUAAACGUCCCAGUGCAUUCUGUUGAUAUUACUGAUCAGUACACGCUAUCCAGCGAUUCAAAACUCCUAAGGUAUGUCAAUGAUACUAAUAUAAUAACCAUGAUAUCUAUAUCUGAUGAAGGUCUCCAGCUCAGUAACCAGAACAGACACACCAUAACCGAGAGAAUAACUAAAAUAUUCGGGUAUGACCGGGACUUUAUACUUGUCACCAACUCAGCUAACAAUACACAGACUGUGUGUAUUUGUUUUGAGGAUGACAUAGUUAAAACGGAAUUGCCGCAGGAUACUCAGAAGAUAUUUAUAUCGGAGAACAGACGCUUAGGAGCUAUUUUAUCCGCCCAGGGCCGUAGGAUACAGAUAUUAGAUUUAGAUGAAGAUAACGGGGAGGAUUAGGAUAUCAGUUUUCAGUUUUGUGGGAAGUCCAGAGAAAUUUAUGAUUCUUGGAAAAUUCUGAAUUACGGCUCUGUUUAUAAUUUGAUCAGACCAUCCUAUGCUAGAUAAUUGGGAAGGAUGGCAAAUUCUUGUCAUUUUCCUCCUACCCCUCAUCUUUCUCUUCCGACGAUCAAUAAAGAUACUAUACUUUGAUACUUAUCAGUUAAUUCUAAAACAAAGAGUGGAAUUCAAAGACAGAUACGAUGGUGAUAUCAAGUAUGUAGGUGGCAUUGACAUCUCCUUCAUCAAGAACGACAAUAUCAACGCGUGCAUCUCUCUAGCCGUCCUCGAUUUGGAUACCCUAGAAACAGUUUUCAGUCGCAACGAAAUGAUAAAAAUGACAUGUGACUACAUUCCGGGGUACCUCGCAUUCCGUGAAACGCCCCACAUAGCCCAAAUCCUCAAAACAGUGAAAACCCAAUUCCCGGGAUUCUACCCAGAUGUGCUGAUAGUGGACGGUAACGGCCGGUUGCACAAGAAAGAGUUUGGGUUGGCAUGCCAAACGGGGGUCACGUGUGAUAUACCAUGUAUUGGGGUCGCUAAAAACUUGUACCAAAUGGAGGGGUGCCUCAGAGAUGAUGACCACAAGAGUUCUAUCGACAAACUUAACUCCCCCGGGGAGAGAUUCGAGAUAAGGAAUGUGAAGAAUGUGGUGAUAGGGUGUGCUGUUAGAACAACAGCUGGCUCAACUAAACCUGUGUACGUGUCACAGGGACACAGAGUGUCACUGGAAACUGCAUGUCAUGUUGUGAUGAAGUGCUCCAGGUACAGGGUUCCUGAGCCGGUCAGGCUAGCGGAUAUCAUGUCUAGAGAUGUUCUGAGGCAGUUGCAAGUUAAUGGUUGAGGUUUUAGGCGUUGUUUGAUGACGUCGUCAUUAUAUAUCUUGUUGCCAUAACUUGUUGUUUGCGUUUCUUUUCUAUUGUUUUAGUUUUGUAUUUUUUUUCUCUUUUGAAUUAGUUUUUUUACGUUUUUUUUGGUUGUUUAGUUAGUUGUUAUAUUUUUGUACUUUGUAUUUUUUGAGUAAUUAAGUCAUGUUUAUACACAUUUACUAC